AUAAGAAAGUGGAGAAAAUCAUGCAAGGAUUGCCUUCUUUUUAAUAUGUCGAAAAGCCCCCAAAUAAGAGGUAAAAGCAUCGUAGGUGACCCACACUUGCUGCAAUUGCUGAGCAAGUCUGAUCCCCAGAUACCUGAGGAGAGUGUCACAGUGUGUUUGGUAACUGUGCAAUUUGGGAAUGUCUGAGGUAGAGAAAGGUUCUCUGGAAUGGUCUCAGGCCACUGUACAGCAACAGUUCUGAGUGGCCACAUAGUGCUGCAUUUGAACCCCUGACCCAGGAACAAAAUGAAUUACGUGUAGACUGAAGUAUGGAGAUGGGACAAUUCUGGUUUCUCACGUUUCAAAGGAAUAAAGCAGUGACUGUAGACAGUGAUUGCUUGGAGCUAGCUCUUCUCUUCCCAGCUUGCCUAUGGAUUCUCCUGAGCAGCCAUCUUUCAGAUGCAUGGCACAUUCUGGAAACCAGCUCAAGUGUAAAAUUUUGGGAAGAGCCUUUAUUGCUGACUUCAGACAGGAAAAUCACACCCUGGAAAAGGCCAAGAAUGCUAGCAGGUCUGUUCCCAGUAAAGGGCUGAUGGUACUUGCAUGGUGCAGAAACAUGUUGAAUUUUCUCUCUACUUCCUGAGAGAAUUAUUAGACUGGCUGGUUU
rnacentral:lncRNA from 1 species